GCACACCACCGCCGCCGCCGCGAAUCCCCGAGGACGCCGCACGCCGCCGCCGUCGCGAAUCCCCAGGGAUGCCGCACGCCACCGCCGUCGCGAAUCACGAGAGACGCCGCUCGCCGCCGCCUCGGAUCCCCAAGGGCGUGGUCGCAUUGCCCUGAUUGGAGGAGACCCUGCCGGCCUUGCCUUGUUUGGAGGAUGAACACAGGUAUUUCGAGGCCCAUGUGUGUCAAUCCCGACCUCCGCUUUCCCCUUUUUCCAUCGAGGGCCGCCGCCGCUGCUUCGUCUUCUAUCUCUCCGGAUCCCCAUCGGCACCUGCUGGAUGGUGCUCCGGGAACAGGGCCGCACGGAGGCCCUCCUCCCAUAGGAUGUGCAGAUGCGGCGCGCCUUGCAGCGGCUGUUCGGGAUGAGCGCGGGCGCGACAACCUUGUCCCAGUCGAUGAUGGCGGCGGCGAACGCCGAUGCUCCUUCUCGUCCUCUACCUCCAAGGACGCGCACCGGUACAGCUUAGGCACCCCCGUCCCCAAAUCCCAUCCACCCAUCCGGCGUUGUCCAGCUCAUCCUCACGCUCGUGGAUUCGCCUCCUCCUGUACGCGACACUUGAAACGUGGACGUGUCUGAAGCAGAACCUCCGUCUUCUAUCUCAACGUCGGCGGCCCGCCGACGCCGACUCCUUAUCGACGCCCGUCGGCGGCCCGGUGACGCGACCAGAUCACUGCAAAUUGCUCCAUUCAUGUCAGCAGCCUAAUCAGGUUUAUUGUAGAUUGGAGUUGUCCCUUCACUCUUGAUCAAUAACCAGAUAUUGGCAAGCUUGAGUUAUCCAUGGAUGCAUGGAAAAGAUUAUCCAUUGUUGUGAUAUGCAUAUAUGUAGGAUUAAAUUCAUCUGAAUUAUGAGCUAUGUCACACUUUGCAGAGUACAGAGACUUCAGUUCACAUAAUCUGUUUGUACAUAUGUUGAUGUCAGGUGGAGGUGGUCGUGCUGGCGCCACUGUUUCGCUUCGUGCUGAUGCGGUAUAAAAGUGCCUCCUCGGCAGAUGAGGACCUGAGCAUGGUCGUGCUAAUGAGGAUGCAAGAUCCACCGCCACCGGCCAGUCUGAGUGAUUGCAGAGAACUUCACAGGCAGAUCAAUUACGAGGAGGUCAAGGCUGAGCUGGAGUGGGGUGGGCGCCAACAUGAAGGAGCUGGAGAUAUCUCUAUUUUUGUCGGUCAUUAUUCAGGCUCUAAAGCUUCCCCUUUUCCUAUACCACAUUACUUGAUAUUAUUAGAUUCAGUAAGCUUACUCAACUGUGAACAAGUUCAUGUGGUAAGUAGGAUCAACAAGAGUUGGCUGGCAACUUCUAUGUAUAUGUUAUUAUGGAUCAGCCAAGGUGGUUAAAUUUUCAUUUUUUUUCCUUUUUCUUAAUUUAAGCCCUUAAGUUUAUGUUGUUAAAUGCAUACACAUAACUUAGUUCCAGAUUUAACAAGAGUACAUUUUACAACAAACUUCAUAGCUGAUGUUGAUCAUAAUUAGUAAGUGUACAAAGCAUUUCAAGGAAUUUCUGUUUUGUGCAUAUUGUAUAUUGCAGACUUGCAGUGAAGUAGUGCCAUCUAAGUACCAGAUGUAUGUUAUUUUCAGAUAAGCUUUACUUAAAAUGGAAAAUACUAAAAAAGCAAAUUGUGCCACACCGUGCAAUUAAGGUGCCUUUUACUGGAAACUCAAUGCAACUUCUUGUUAUUUUCAAAUAAGCUUUUCUUAAAAUGGAAAACACUAAAAAGCAGAUUGUGCCACACCGUGCAAUUAAGGUGCCUUUUACUGGAAACUCAAUGCAACUUCUUGUUAUUCCUUCUGAACCUAGCAAUUAAGCCAUAUCUUGUUUUCACUCCUUCUGAACCUAGCAAAAUGACCUACUUGGACCGAACGAGGACAGGUGUGUGGUGGUGGACAUAAGAUGCACGGCGAACAUUGAGCUACAAAAGAACAUUAUGAAAGAGGUUGGAGAGGCUGGAGGAGACCGUAUACCGACACAAAGCUCAUCUUGAUGGCCAUCAAUGAGGAGCUGAACCUGCUACACCAGGCUAAUUGCAAGCAUCGGGAUGACUUGGACGAGAGGACUGUAGCACGACGCAAUGAAGAGCCAGAUCGUCCGUCCGCUCCCAGCUCACUUCCCGGUUCUGUUGUGCUGCCCCGUGCACCAACCAUCCAGUAAAGGUUCUGAGGUUAACAUCUCUUUUGCGAGUUUCGUAUAACUUUUGUUGUCACUUUAUUAUCUAUUGAUCCACAUGUUUGUAUUUUAGCAGACAUGAGUUACUUUAUCAUCUUUCCAGGAAGAAAUUGCUAGAGAGAAGAAAACUCAGUUUUACAAGUAGUGACAGUCCAACAUCAUAUUGACAAGUCUGGUUUCUCUUUCCAUAUACAUAAGUGUAUAAUUUGUUUUAAGUAACUGUUUCCUCGGUCCUUAUUGCCACGGUUUUCUCAAGUGCAACCGCGAGCUUAGUAAUAGCAAGAUAGAAAUUUGAGAUGGCAAAACUGUACGUCCAAUACAAUUUCUAACCUGUGCUUGACUACUUGUUGCUUCUUGCAGUUUGGUUCUUUAAAUAACAAGAAGAGAUGGCAAAACUUUACUCACAAGAAGUUGUGUAAUUUGGAAAGAUAGCUGAUCGAAAUAAACUGUCAUUGUCAUAAAUUUUGUACUGUACAUCAUACGAUUGGCCUGACCAUCUUCUUCGUCAGUGUCGGAUGUUCGACAUCAAUCUCCAUCUUUUCAUUUUCAGAAUCGCACGUGGGGUUAGUAAAGACUUCUUCAUAUUUGCUUUUGUUGCCACUGCUGCAGGAGAGUUGCCACCUGAUAGCGAUGUUGUCCCUUCAGAAUUGUUUUAAGUUCUUUUUUGCUGGUAUAAGUGCGGACUUUUGCAUUAAGCAUGACAUGGAAUUUGUUUUAUGUAAAUAUUGAUGCUUCACAACGAAUUCAUGUUGUGAAGGGUGAUGAUUUACCUUCAGUACAAUCUGUUAUAAGUUGUAGUUUAUUUUGUUUUCAUGUGUUAUUUGCAGAGAAUAUAUGGUUCGUAUUUAUUAGGCUUAUUUCAUAUAGCCUUUUCUGGUAGCAUAUUUGUAACAGAAACGCAUUAGCCACCCUGUUCAUGAUUCAUAACACAUGCGUUUUAGUGGGAUGGAGGUAAUAUUGAGAGAGACAGACCCAUCGGGCUAAGGAAUAGAAAUAGUAUAUCUUUUGAGUCUACCAUCUUCUAUGCCAAGCAGGGUCGAGUGGGGUGAUAUACUAGGCGCUUUUCUUCUAAAUUGUACAGAAAGUCCACUGAGUUAUUGUUGUUUGUAUGCCACCUUAGAGCGAAAUAGUACUUCUUUUAAUCAUUUUUAGGUGAAAUACAAGCAUGUAGCUACCUCACUUAAUUAUUGUACUCACUUGAAGUUUAUGUUGAUAUAAUGCACUAUUUAAGUAGUAGAGAAACCUCACAAAUUUAAAUUGAUGAAUGAUAUUUAGGAAAAGAAGUAGGCAUGUUUCAUUAUAAAGGGAAAGUAUUUUUCAAGGCAUAGUGUUUAAUUCACGAAUGGUUAAACAGUUUAACAGGGACCAACACUGGGUAGCAGGGGAGUGGCAGUGCAUAGAGACAUAGUGAGGGGAGCGGGGGCGAUGAUGGAGGCGGAGAUGUUUAGAGAGAGAUAUAGAGAGUGGGAGGUUUACCAUGGUGCAAUUGAAAACUGAGGCACGCCUUGCUAAGACAAGCACACUUUAAAACAUAGCAAUACUCUGCAUUGUUUUGAUGUUGGUAUCAGGACCAGGUACCAUGUGAAGCUCAAGGAAUGGUUGUAAAUCAUUAUGGAUAAACUGAAAAAAGAUCAUUAUGGAGUACAUUAUAAACGACAUUUGGUGUCGGCGGCAUGUCACUACCACUGACAAAGUUCUCUGAAACACGAUUACUAUCAUUUGAAAAUAAAUGCUGGCAAAGAUAUUAAAAUUCAAAUCUGGCUUAUUUUUCUCAAUAUGGGUUCAGAAGGAAAUUGUCGUUGAGCUUCUAUCUAAAGGUAUGUCAGAUUAACAGGUUGCUAUUGCAACUCUUGAUUUGGAGUAAUGCAAAGUAACUGUGGAUCUUGUCGUCGGUACAUCUUGGGUUGCCAUUCUUCUAGAACGAAGGAUUUUUUUCUCUAGAUUGUGCUAUGAAAUAAUGCUUGUAUAACACCUUGAUCUCUUGGCUACACCAUGCUUUCUUGAGAACACUAUACUUGCAGAAGAAUGAUGCUUCUAUAGAAUGCCACCAUGCGUUCUGGCAGUUCUUUUAAUUCUGUGUUCACUAUGGACAAAUGAACCAUAUAAUUUGUCAAUAUAAUCAGUACUUGCUUUCAUGUUGCAAUCUCAGAUUUAGGCACUUAAUAGCCAUAGAAUAAUUUUGAAUUGUUAUGCUCAGUACACCAAAUGUUGUUCCUAGGUAAUGCACUGUUUGCAACUAAGUUUUGUCUUUAAGCACCAAGGUGUAGUAGUAUGCAAUGAAAUAAAUGGAUCAUUUCUAUCUUUCUGGUGCUCAUAAUAGACUUUUUCAUUUUGAAUUUGUAUGCUUGAAAUUUGAUUAUUUCUACCAACUGAGAGUGGAAAUGAACUGUACCGUAGGCACUUUUUCAUUAGAUUUCAGCAGCCUUGAUGGCUGAUGGCAGCAACCUCAUGGGCCACACAUCCCCUUCUUUAAUUGCAUGCCCUCAAAAAAUGUAUGGGGACUUGGUUCUUUGGUUGUCGCCGCCGGACUCAGUGAAGGACGAAAAAUUAAGAUGAUCCAGUGGAGAAUAGAUGCCACGGGCUGAAGAAAGGAGGCGACGGUUUCAGAGCACACACCUUGAAGCAGAGAGGCGGCAAGGGAGUGCGUCUGGAUGGCAGAGGGAGCGGGACAAAGCAACAUCGCAUGGGAGACAUGGUCAAAAUCGGCGCCGUAGGAGCAAUCGUGCGUGUGGGGGUCGUACCAGGGAGAAGGAAAAGGGUGGUCGGUUUUCUAGGGCUUUUUUCCUUGCAUCGGGAAAUGGGUUCGGUUGAAAAAAACGAUGAUGUGGGAAGGUCACGCGAGUGGUGGAUACGUGGGUACCAUUUAACGUACCAACUGCGGUUUAAUAGUAGAGAUUAAGACGUUGAUAUUUUAUUCAUUUUCUUCUUAGCUGAACAUUCAUUAAACCAAAAAUCUAUGAAACUUGUAAUGUAUCAUGGUCGCAAUUUGUGAAGUAGAACUAACUAUCCUUUGACCAAAUACCCUUUGAUCAUUCAUCAAUUUUGAUGUACUUGUCGCCCGUGACAACAAAUAUGGAUCAAAUAACUAUGCACUAUGGGCACUAAUAUGGUUACCUUCGAAUGUGUUUGUUACUGUGUUUAGUUACUAUGAUGUUUCAUAUGUUCAUCAAAAAAAUAAAGGCUUAUUUGCUUGCAUGUGCUUUCUCAUGUUUGUUUGUUUUUUCUUGUGGUUGUUCCUUUUCUAUAAUUGUCACAUAAAGUGAACUGAAACUCAUAUUCUAUAUUUCUG